rnacentral:rRNA from 1 species
CACCUCUAGCAUUACCAGUAUUAGAGGCACUGCCUGCCCAGUGACAUUAGUUAAACGGCCGCGGUAUCCUGACCGUGCAAAGGUAGCAUAAUCAUUUGUUCCUUAAUUAGGGACUUGUAUGAAUGGCCCCACGAGGGUUUAACUGUCUCUUACUUCCAAUCAGUGAAAUUGACCUUCCCGUGAAGAGGCGGGAAUGCAAAAAUAAGACGAGAAGACCCUAUGGAGCUUAAAUUAAUAUGCUCAACAAAAUCCAACUUCAACCCAAUAGGAAUAAUGAUAUUUUAACUGAGCAUUAAAUUUUGGUUGGGGUGACCUCGGAGUACAACAAAACCUCCGAGAAAUUUAACCAAGACUUACUAGUCAAGGCCACAUAACUCAUUGAUCCAAUCACAUUGAUCAACGAAACAAGUUACCCUAGGGAUAACAGCGCAAUCCUAUUUGAGAGUCCGUAUCGACAAUAGGGUUUACGACCUCGAUGUUGGAUCAGGACACCCAAAUGGUGCAGCAGCUAUUAAAGGUUCGUUUGUUCAACG